GUUGGUAGGAUUGCGUCCACGGUUUAUUUUCGUCUGGUUAUAUUUCGUCUGGUUUAUUUUCGUCCGGUUUAUUUUCGUCUCAUAUCCCACCACCAUAUCUCCUCACAUUGAUUUUUUUACCCUCACAAUAAAAACAUUCCUAACUUUUCCAAAGUUUCCUAACUAGACACGUUAUAAACGGGCAUGUACCGAUAGCACGUUAUCAAUUAAUAAAAUUUUGUUUUAUGACAAUCAAUUCCAAAUCCUAAUUUUCCUAAUGCAUCGAUCUUUGCCUUUUUUAAGUAGUUAUUUUGAUAGGGAGGGUUUAGCCACGAAAAUCAUCCCUCCAUCGUCGGCUGCAUCCCUCACCCACGUCGCUGUUGCAGGAUCUUCAUCCGUCAUCCUGAGCAAUUGGGGCGGCGAUGCGGGCGAGCUUCACGAUAGUGGGGAGGACCAGGCCGCGGUGAAGGCAGGUCAUGCGCUCCUCACGCUCCACGAACGGAACCUGCGCACGGAGGCGGUAGCGCGGGGUGGCAGCCGGCAAUGAGGCGGCCGCGCUACGUGACGAGCUACGGGUCCCCCUUUGUGAUGUUUUGGCAUCGCUCCUUCAUCGCACAUCCUCAGGCGAUGGCGGUGGUGUCGCUGAUGGCGGCGAGGACAGCAUGUGGCAGCUCCCGAAGCAUGAACACGACCGCACCUCGGGCCUGCCGUCUGCCAAGAUAUGGCUCUGGCCGAUUGACAAUGGAGGUUUGGGAUCCUUCCUCUCAGCACCCACUCCUGGAAGAAUCAGCGGUGCGCCACGCCGAUUGAACCCCGUCGAGAUCACUCGCCAAGAUUGCUAUUCUGAAGUUUAUUGUAAAGAAAGUGAAGAGUGAGACAGGAUCCGUUUAUUUUCAACCGGUUUAUUUCCAUCAAAUUACCCCCACCCCCACGCCCACCCACCGAAACGCGCCCAGCGAACCGGGGAGAGAUCCAUUGAUUUGGCUAAGGUAGGAAAGAAUCUAUUAUUUGUUUGCUAAAGCAAAUUGCAUUAAUGGGAGAGAUCCGUUGAUUUGGCUAAGGUAGGAAAGAAUCUAUUAUUUGUUUGCUAAAGCAAAUU